rnacentral:rRNA from 1 species
ACGGCCAUACCACAUUGAAAACACCGGUUCUCGUCCGAUCACCGAAGUUAAGCAAUGUCGGGUCCGGUCAGUACUUGGGAGGGUGACCACCUGGGAACACCGGGUGCUGUAGGCU